rnacentral:rRNA from 1 species
UGGGGGAAUAUUGCACAAUGGGGGAAACCCUGAUGCAGCGACGCCGCGUGGAGGAAGAAGGUCUUCGGAUUGUAAACUCCUGUUGUUGAGGAAGAUAAUGACGGUACUCAACAAGGAAGUGACGGCUAACUACGUGCCAGCAGCCGCGGUAAAACGUAGGUCACAAGCGUUGUCCGGAAUUACUGGGUGUAAAGGGAGCGCAGGCGGGAAGACAAGUUGGAAGUGAAAUCCAUGGGCUCAACCCAUGAACUGCUUUCAAAACUGUUUUUCUUGAGUAGUGCAGAGGUAGGCGGAAUUCCCGGUGUAGCGGUGGAAUGCGUAGAUAUCGGGAGGAACACC